GAAUCAAAACUUUCAACAACGGAUCUCUUGGUUCUGGCAUCGAUGAAGAACGCAGCGAAAUGCGAUAAGUAAUGUGAAUUGCAGAAUUCAGUGAAUCAUCGAAUCUUUGAACGCACAUUGCGCCCGCCAGUAUUCUGGCGGGCAUGCCUGUCCGAGCGUCAU
rnacentral:rRNA from 1 species